rnacentral:tmRNA from 1 species
GGGGGCGAUCGGCUUCGACGGGGGUUACGAAAUCACUGGGUGCAUGCCGAGGGGGUAGCUUUCCUCGUUAAUCCAGCUGCAAAAUUAUAGUUGCCAACGACGACAACUACGCACUGGCCGCUUAAGGCCUAAGCCCUGAACCCCUUUGUCCCUGUGCUCGGGGAUGUUCAGGUCAUUAUCACAGGAUCGCCGCUGCACUCGUCUGGCGUGCAGCGUCUAAAACUACAGACUGAUGUUCGGACAGCCUAGCCACUCGGACUGCCGAAUGUGACAUCAAAUGAGCGUGCUAAGCAUGUAGUACCGAGGACGUAGGACUUUCGGACGGGGGUUCAAUUCCCCCCGCCUCCACCA